UCAAUGAUCAGCAAAGACCACAGUAACCAACAUAGUCACACUGCACACAGAUACAAAAACAUACAUGGAAAGAUCAAUUAGAAGAAUGUAUAUUUUUCUUGAUGGGAUCCAGCUCCUCUGCAUUUCCACACAAAUGCAGAAAGCCAGUUGAAUCCAAACAACAGAUCCCCAUGUGACACAUCCGAAUUCAACGGGCCAGCACCAAGUGGUGGUUCAACUUCAAAUUCUACAACUGGUCCCACACAAAUGGAGAAAGCCAGUGGAGAUUCUUUUCCAACUUCAUUGAUUUGACAAUUACAAUGCAAAUUUUUCUGGAUAUAUUUCCUAUGCAAAUGGACAAGGCCAGUUGAAAACCAAAGAUAGAUCCACAUGGAUUGCGGCCCCAAUUCAAUGGGGCCAGAAACAUGUGAUGGUCCAGAUUAGAGAACUGAUCCUUCUCAUUUGAUGUAGAGGUUGAGAGGAUCACUUUCCAUCUUAAAGGCCUAAUGGCUCUGCAAAACAGUACAAAUUUAAUUGAUGGGUAUUAAAAAGCAAAAGACUCUACCCAAACGAAUCUUAUUCUAAGUAAUAACAAAACCCAAUCAAAUCCACUAGAAAUGGCUUGAAUUAUAACAAAACCUGAACUUCUGAUCAGAAGAACAAUAGAAAACCCCACAGAUAUGAAAAUAAGUAAUUAACGCAAUGGUUUUUGUAAUUCUCAAAAGGGUAAUGAUUUCCCCACUCCAAUUUUAUCCACUUACACUCCUUUUUUAGUUAUAAAAUGGAGUGUAAGUGGAUAAACUUGGAGUGGGGAAAUCACCACUCUUCUCAAAACUGCUGCCAAUUGUUAAUCUUUCCAUUUUUGGUAAAAGUAGCUUACGGUUUUCAUAAUUAAGUAAUCUACUAAGAAGCAUAAGAUCAAAUCUAGGGUGAAGGAUUCCAAGGGUGCAAGAAGGGCCACCAUCAUUUACCCUAGAAUCAAUGUUUGAUUGAAGAAAACAAAAAUAAAGUUUAUAAGUCACAGACACGAACCUGAUGUGAAGAGAAUUCAAAAUGGC
rnacentral:lncRNA from 1 species